CUUGUGAUUAGUUGUCUGUGUACCUGUGUGUCACAUUGUUCCUUGUUGGUUCGUUGUCUAUGUUUUGUGGUGCGGUUGUUCCUUCUGUGUUUAUCCCUGCGUUGAGCUCGGUGUUCCCUCGUGCCAUCCUGGGGACCCAAGGAGACGUGGUGUUGUUUUUAGUGCAAUUUGGACGCGCGUCGCGUUCAAUAUCAAACUUUGAAUAAACAAGCGAUGGCCUCAGUACAGGAGCAGGGGCGACGCUUCAGGGCUCCGCAGACUGAGUCGGGCAUAUCGGCCGCAGCUAACCGGCUGCUUCCUCUAACAUGGGAGUGGUAUCAGUCUUCUUUCCUCGUGUAAAUCUCUGGCAGAAAGCAAAUAAGUGUAUUUUCCAAAAUGUUUAACUAUCCCUUUAACUGUCUGGUUUUUGGGACUUAACUUGAAGACUUGAAGACUUGAGGAUGACUUGUGACUUGCUGUCCAACGUGCUCAGUGGACUACAAACAACAUCAGAAUCUAAGGGAAAUGAACAGUUAACUGGUAAGAAUGAUUUUCCGUGUCAGCUGCUUAGUGCGAGUCACAAUAACAGGAGAAGGCAAUGCUGUCUAUAUUCAUGAGCACUGUGAUAACACAACUGUCAGACAAGUCCUUGAAAUGUUUUGGAUUGCACUCAUACUGUUCAUGUACACCUGUUCUUAGAGUCCCAGAGUUUUUAAGAGCCAGAUGCAAGCCAGCGUCUGACACUGAGACUCUUCUCAAGAUGUGCUAAUAAAUUCAAUCGCGCUGAGGUACACCAUGUUCUUAGUCUUACCACAGCUGUUUGCAGCAUCAAUUCACGUUGGAUUGAUGGCAAAUCAUAACUGUGAAGUCCACUGGUUCCACUUUCUGACUGUAUGUAAUGGAAUUGUAUUAAUAUUGAGCAGUAUUUGUAACAUAUUUUUUCUGUGUUACUUUUUUUUGACAGCCCAGCUCACAUAUGAUAAUAUUUGAAGCUCUAUUCCAGGCAAUGUGUAUUUUAUUUUACGAAAGGGGGAAAAAAACAAUCAUAAUUGAGACAUCAGGAUCUCAUUAUUAUGAGAAAAGCCUUUUAAUUGCCACUAACCUAGGCUCAGGAUGAGACGCUGGGAAAUGUGUUACAGAAAUCCUGAUCUUGUAAUUACGAGAUCUUUUCUUUUCUUCCUUUUAUGAUUGCAAUGUGCAAUGAAACCCUUUUUUCCCCACUUUGUCUGACAUGCAAAGUCAAGUUCACAAUGUUUUUAGCGUGGUGGAAGUCGUGGGAAGACUGUUGCUAGGUGACUGACAAUUAAAAAAAAAAAAGGAUUUUGUUUCUUCUGCAUUUACAUAGACAUUUUAAAAGUAACUUUUAUCAACUCUGACAUUUUUAGAAAUAU